rnacentral:rRNA from 1 species
AGGGCGCACGGUGGAUGCCUUGGCACUAGAAGCCGAAGAAGGACGUGACAAACGACGAAAUGCUUUGGGGAGCUGUAAGUAAGCGACGAUCCAGAGAUGUCCGAAUGGGGGAACCCACUAGCUAAUGGCUAGUACUCCUAUCUGUUAAGGAUAGGUAGAGGAAGACGCAGUGAACUGAAACAUCUAAGUAGCUGCAGGAAGAGAAAGCAAAAGCGAUUGCCUGAGUAGCGGCGAGCGAAACGGCAGGAGGGCAAACCGAAGAGUUUACUCUUCGGGGUUGUAGGACUGCAAUGUGGACUUAAAGAAUAUAGAAGAAUGACAUGGGAAGGUCAGCCAAAGAGAGUAAGAGCCUCGUAUUCGAAAUAGUCUUUAUACCUAGCAGUAUCCUGAGUACGGCGAGACACGAGAAAUCUCGUCGGAAUCUGGGAGGACCAUCUCCCAACCCUAAAUACUCUCUAGUGACCGAUAGUGAACCAGUACCGUGAGGGAAAGGUGAAAAGCACCCCGGGAGGGGAGUGAAAUAGAACCUGAAACCGUGUGCCUACAACAAGUUCGAGCCCGUUAAUGGGUGAGAGCGUGCCUUUUGUAGAAUGAACCGGCGAGUUACGAUAUGAUGCGAGGUUAAGUUGAAGAGACGGAGCCGUAGGGAAACCGAGUCUUAAUAGGGCGCAUUAGUAUCAUGUCGUAGACCCGAAACCAUGUGACCUACCCAUGAGCAGGUUGAAGGUGAGGUAAAACUCACUGGAGGACCGAACCAGGGCACGUUGAAAAGUGCUUGGAUGACUUGUGGGUAGCGGAGAAAUUCCAAACGAACUUGGAGAUAGCUGGUUCUCUCCGAAAUAGCUUUAGGGCUAGCGUCGACAUUAAGAUUCUUGGAGGUAGAGCACUGUUUGGGUGAGGGGUCCAUCCCGGAUUACCAAUCUCAGAUAAACUCCGAAUGCCAAUGAAUUAUGGUCGGCAGUCAGACUGCGAGUGCUAAGAUCCGUAGUCGAAAGGGAAACAGCCCAGACCACCAGCUAAGGUCCCAAAAUAAUUGUUAAGUGGAAAAGGAUGUGGGGUUGCACAGACAACUAGGAUGUUAGCUUAGAAGCAGCUAUUCAUUCAAAGAGUGCGUAAUAGCUCACUAGUCGAGUGACCCUGCGCCGAAAAUGUACCGGGGCUAAAACAAUUUACCGAAGCUGUGGAUACCUUUAUAGGUAUGGUAGGAGAGCGUUCUAUGUGUGGAGAAGGUGUACCGUGAGGAGCGCUGGAACGCAUAGAAGUGAGAAUGCCGGUAUGAGUAGCGAAAGACAGGUGAGAAUCCUGUCCACCGUAAGACUAAGGUUUCCAGGGGAAGGCUCGUCCGCCCUGGGUUAGUCGGGACCUAAGGAGAGACCGAAAGGUGUAUCCGAUGGACAACAGGUUGAUAUUCCUGUACUAGAGUAUGUAGUGAAGGAGGGACGCAGUAGGCUAACUAAAGCGUGCGACUGGAAGUGCACGUCUAAGCAGUGAGGUGUGAAUUGAGUUAAAUGCUUAAUUCUAUAACAUUGAGCUGUGAUGGGGAGCGAAGUUUAGUAGCGAAGUUAGUGACGUCACACUGCCAAGAAAAGCUUCUAGCGUUAAUCAUACUCUACCCGUACCGCAAACCGACACAGGUAGUCGAGGCGAGUAGCCUCAGGUGAGCGAGAGAACUCUCGUUAAGGAACUCGGCAAAAUGACCCCGUAACUUCGGGAGAAGGGGUGCUGGCUUUCAGUCAGCCGCAGUGAAUAGGCCCAAGCAACUGUUUAUCAAAAACACAGCUCUCUGCUAAAUCGUAAGAUGAUGUAUAGGGGGUGACGCCUGCCCGGUGCUGGAAGGUUAAGAGGAGUGCUUAGCGUAAGCGAAGGUAUGAAUUGAAGCCCCAGUAAACGGCGGCCGUAACUAUAACGGUCCUAAGGUAGCGAAAUUCCUUGUCGGGUAAGUUCCGACCCGCACGAAAGGCGUAAUGAUUUGGGCACUGUCUCAACGAGAGACUCGGUGAAAUUUUAGUACCUGUGAAGAUGCAGGUUACCCGCGACAGGACGGAAAGACCCCAUGGAGCUUUACUGCAGUUUGAUAUUGAGU